rnacentral:rRNA from 1 species
CACGUAGGGUGCGAGCGUUGUCCGGAAUUAUUGGGCGUAAAGAGCUCGUAGGCGGUGUGUCGCGUCAGCCGUGAAAACCUGCAGCUUAACUGUGGGCUUGCGGUCGAUACGGGCAUCACUGGAGUUCGGCAGGGGAGACUGGAAUUCCUGGUGUAGCGGUGAAAUGCGCAGAUAUCAGGAGGAACACCGGUGGCGAAGGCGGGAUCCUGGGCCAGUACUGACGCUGAGGAGCGAAAGCGUGGGGAGCAAACAGG